rnacentral:rRNA from 1 species
CGGACGGGUGGGUAAUGUCUGGGAAACGUGCCUGAUGAGGGGGAGUAACUACUGGAAACGGUAGCUAAUACCGCAUAACGUCGCAAGACCAAAGAGGGGGACCUUCGGGCCUCUUGCCAUCGGAUGUGCCCAGAUGGGAUUAGCUAGUAGGUGGGGUAAAGGCUCACCUAGGCGACGAUCCCUAGCUGGUCUGAGAGGAUGACCAGCCACACUGGAACUGAGACACGGUCCAG